ensembl:lncRNA
AUGCCCAGGUACAAAGUAAGGCUGCACAGUCCAGACCUGUGGACUUCAUAUCUUAGACAGGAAGCUCCUACACUUACUGUGUGCAAUCUCAGAAAAACUCUGGUUUUCUCUUUCAGUUUCCCAGGCCCUACAGUCUCAAAAGCUGCAAGCAAGAAAAUGAACUGCAUCUUAAUGACCUGUAAAAGAAACUGGAGUAUUGACUACUAUGAGCUUGAAGCUGAUCUAAUGAAAUCAUUCCAAGAGAUGUGAGCAAAGAUCUGGAAGAGGGAAACUGAUGGUGAAAAGACCCUGGGAUAAAUUGUUCAUCAAAGUUACAGCAGCUAUAGAAAUAUGUCAAAUUUGUUCAAGUUUCAACAAGAUUAGACAACUGCUAACCACUGUGGUGCAAAGGAAAAUGUGGCUGCCAAAAACACUCAAAGGUUAUUAGCCAUGAAACAUCCACAGUAUCAACAAAGCAGAUCCUCUCUUCUCAGUAGCUCUCACUGGGACUUUUGCCAUUUCUGGGAGCUUGUGGAAUGGUGGAAAACCAGUGACUGGAGGUUUUGCUGAUCUGCACAUUCACACAGAAGGGACCCUCAACUGAUGACAAGGCUGCUCCAAGAAAGACCCUGCUGGUCCUGUUGUCACAGCUGAGAUGCACUGGGGGACUUCUGAGACCUGCCCCAGGACUGUGCUGGUUCAGCAGAUGAUGGGGAAGUGUCAUGGUUUAACCCCAGCUGGCAGCUCAGCCCCACACAGCCACUCAGCCAACCCUCCCUCCCCACCAUGGGAUGGUGGAAAGGAUAGGAAGUGUUAAAGUGAGAAAUCUUGUGUGGAUUGAGACAAAGAUGGUUUAAUAGGUAAAGCAAGAGCCAUGCACCCAAGCAAAGCAAAACAAGGAAUUGAUUCACCGCUUCCCAUGGGCAGGUGGGUGUUCAGAUAUUCCCAGGAAAGCAGGACUCCAUCACACAUAAAGUGACUUGAUAAAUGCCACCACUCUGAAUGUUCUCUCCUUCCUUUUUCCCCUCCAUCUUUACACACUGACAGUGAUAUGUUAUGGAAUAUCACUUUGGUCAGUCGAGGUCAGCUGUCCCAGCUUUGUCCCCUCCCAAAAUCUCGUGCAACCCCAGCCUCCUUACUGGAUUUUGUUUCCUGUCUUUGAUGUGUUACUGUAAUGUAGUCAAUAACUGAGCUAUUUUUUGAUGCAAAAUACACCCCUGCUAAUGGAAAUAUUUCAUUUAUCAUCAUUAUCAUGUUUUUUUCAGUUUUCAAACUUAUGCUGCUGAGCUCCAAGGUAAUCCUGUGUAUCUUGAGAGUGGGACAGAGAAAACAGAAAGGCCACAGCAAGGUGUUUGCUCACCCACUCAUCCCUCCACAAAUCUAUGUUUUUCAUUACAAAGUGCUUUACAAAGUAAUACUUUAGACCACAAAGAUUAAGCUUUUGAAAGGAAGGAAGCAGCUGAGUCACAGCUUGGUGAGCAGUGGGUAACAGCCUGUUUAAUAUCACAUACAAUACAGGAUAUUGUAGGAGACACUUGCAUAUUUCAAAUAUUGUACAAUGGACCACCAACUGCCUAUUCACAUAUACACACAAGUAAAUUAGAUGAUACUUAAUUUUCUUUGUCUCUCACAGAAGAGUAAGAGGCUGAAUCAACUCACUCAGAAGAAAUAUAAUUCCCAAGAGUACCCAGAGCUUUAGUUCAAAGCUCAGAUCAAUAAAGUAUUCCUGUGCCCUAGAAUAAAGACUUGUAAAUAUGUACUUGCCACCUGAUUCUCUUUGUAAUAUAACCAGGGGGUAUGUCUCAACAAGUGAUAAUUGGAAAACACCACAUGUGAGAAAUCACCUUACUUCAGAAAGGAGACAGCCAAAAAUAGAACUGAGCAGAUCACAGCCCAGGGCACUCCAGGAUCUUUCCACAUGAAUGAGAGCAAGUGAAAAUGAAAUGGGAGAAUCAGAGCUGAUGACAGCCUGUCUGCCUGCUAGAUGUGACCUGAAAAUGGAUUUUAUAACAUUUUCAACUACUGUCAGAAUUCAGGCUGCCUAUCUUUGCUACCUACACACAAACAUUUUAGAGGGAAACAGGUGGGUGUUUUUCUGGCCAUGCCUUUUAGCAGGCUUGAGAAAUCCCCACACCCUUUGGCUUUAUCUGUAGUAUCUGCUGUGCAUCUUUCUGUGCCAAGCACUCCCAUUUCGCAUUGAGCAAAUAAUUUUAGAAGUAAUGAAACUGCCAUUUCCAUCAGACAUGAAUGCUGUGCUAGCCCUGGCUUACUGCUGGAAAGCAGAGUCCACCGUGCAGGUUGGAGCUUGACUGGAAGAAGAGGUGGGCACAAUGGGUUUCAAGAAAACAGUGGGGUUUUAAGAGCAGGAGACCAAACUCAGCGUCUGUUUGGUUUGGUACCCACCUGUCAACAAGCAUCAGGGCUGGAUGCCUGCAGGUUUGGGUUGGACAAAAUAUGUCAGGUCUUCUUCCAGGAAUGUGUCUGGACAUCCCACUGACCACUACACAGGCGUCUGUACAUCAGGGUGCCUUAUUUCAGCAUCAAGAGCAUUUUUGUUUUGCUUCUGAUAAAGUGUGAGGAGAAUCAUUAGAGAUGCAUCAGAGACCCCUACCAUACCUAGCUUACCUGCAUAUCUGGUGGAAGCAUAGUCCAAGGAAGCUGCAGCUUU